rnacentral:rRNA from 1 species
AGUGAACGCUGGCGGUAGGCCUAACACAUGCAAGUCGAACGGCAGCACAGUAAGAGCUUGCUCUUACGGGUGGCGAGUGGCGGACGGGUGAGGAAUACAUCGGAAUCUACUUUUUCGUGGGGGAUAACGUAGGGAAAUUUACGCUAAUACCGCAUACGACCUACGGGUGAAAGCAGGGGAUCUUCGGACCUUGCGCGAUUGAAUGAGCCGAUGUCGGAUUAGCUAGUUGGCGGGGUAAAGGCCCACCAAGGCGACGAUCCGUAGCUGGUCUGAGAGGAUGAUCAGCCACACUGGAACUGAGACACGGUCCAGACUCCUACGGGAGGCAGCAGUGGGGAAUAUUGGGCAAUGGGCGCAAGCCUGAUCCAGCCAUACCGCGUGGGUGAAGAAGGCCUUCGGGUUGUAAAGCCCUUUUGUUGGGAAAGAAAAGCAGCAGGUUAAUACCCCGCUGUUCUGACGGUACCCAAAGAAUAAGCACCGGCUAACUUCGUG